GUGCAACAUCCGCAAUCUCCUUGUCCCCCAUUAGGUUCGUUCAUUUGUCCCUCUCGCUUUCCCAUGGAUGGAUGGAUUGAUCUACCUACGGUUUGCCAUCUCUUUCCUUCCUACUUUUUCCCCCUCGCCCCCUUUCGGAAUUAAAGUUCACAAGCUAGAGCUCGAGCAAAAAAGGAGCUGGAUCUGUGGUGUUGGCGUGCAUAUGCAUAUGCGGGAGGUCCCAUGGCGAUCGAUCGAUGGCGCUUUGAUUUGAUUGCUUUUGAGCGAGGAGGGCCUCGCGUUCGCAUGGGGGGAAUGUACUCGAUGGCCAUGCCAAGGUUUUCAUCCUUCCUCCUGCAGGACACAGCAAAAAGGGAAAGGAAAUGUUCGGUUAGAAUGGCAAUGAAAUUGCUACCAGAGAUGGCAGAUGGAGCACUCAAGUGUACUACUCCAUAACCUGUCACCUGUCCUCUGUUCUUCUUGAUGCAUCUUGGCUGCAGAAAUAAAUGCAAAUUAAUCAUACUACCUCAACAGAUCGGCCGGCGGCAGGCCACUGCUGAUCCAAGAACUGAUCAAGGGAACGUACCCUGUCUGAAAACAAGGCAUUCAUCCUGUUCUUUUUCUUUACCUUGGACCAAGUGAAAUAAGCUGCAGAUUUGACCGCAUUUUGAUGCACUUCUUGCAGUGCACUGUCUGCAUGCUGCGCGGCAAAAUGGAUGGAUGCUGCAGCCACUGCAUGAGGCAGCU